rnacentral:tRNA from 1 species
GGGUUGGUAGUUAAUAUAUAAUAAAGGUUUUGUAAACUUUAGUAGGUUUAUCCCUGGCCCU